rnacentral:rRNA from 1 species
UACCAGCACCCCGAGUGGUCGGGACGAUUAUUGGGCCUAAAGCAUCCGUAGCCGGUUCUGCAAGUCCCCCGUUAAAUCCAGCUGCUCAACAGAUGGGCCGCGGAGGAUACUACAGAGCUAGGAGGCAGGAGAGGCAAGCGGUACUCAGUGGGUAGGGGUAAAAUCCGUUGAUCCAUUGAAGGCCACCAGGGGCGAAGGCGGCUUGCCAGAAUGCGCUCGACGGUGAGGGAUGAAAGCUGGGGGAGCAAACCGG